rnacentral:lncRNA from 1 species
UCUAGGUGUUUUGAACAUAUAAAUGAGCAAACCAGACAUAAAUGCCUGCUUUUAAGAUGCUAAUAAUCUAUAAAGUCUUUUGGAAAAAAUCAAUCUCGAAUCAAGCUCUAUAUACUUAGCCAUGGAUCUCCAACUUUAAAUCUAUGCUGCAGUAUAAGAUUCUUCCAUGAUGACUUCUUAGCUGUCUCUAGCUUGUUUCCUGACCUUUGCCCAUGCGUAUGUGAUUCUGCUCACAUGGAAUGCCUUCUCACCUUCUAAAAUGCCACCCACUUUUCUAGUUCCAAAUCAAGUAUAUUCCCUUGGUGAGAUCUUCUGCAACCAACAUAUUAAGAAGUGACCUGUCCCUCCUCUCAACUCAUUGUAGCAUGACCUUUUAUAUUACUUAUUUUGUCUAGAAAUGUUCCAAGUCAUUUUCUGUUAUAAUUAUCCCCCUUACAGGUUCACAGCCAGAUUACGGUAAUUAGAAUUGUAGGCUCUGUAUGCAGAACCCUGUUUAAACUGAGGUUGCCGUCUCCAAAUUGAUUUGCAAAUGUUGUUAUCUAUAGCUUGCAGCCAUUAUGAAUGACCUGCCCACAAAAGCUCAUCAAACUUACACCAAAUCUGAAGUAUAGUAUCAAUAGCACCCCUUGCAGAAUUAUUUUUAUUUUUCUGAGAAAAAUGCAUUUUCUCAGAAAAUAUAAUAUGCAAUUUUGCUGUACUUCUAUGCUGCCAACAUCAAGCUGAUCAAAAGUAUGUAGGUGAUCAAAAAUGCUUAAAUGGUUGCUGGUGAUAAAAUAUUCUAUUUAGUCCCACAAAUUGGUUGAUGGCUUCCUAAGGAAUCCACAGAAGUAAUCCUCACGCUAUGUUUUCCAAAUUCAGCAGCUUCUGUGAAACCUCACAGGAACUUCAAAUGAUACAUGGUUUCUAGCUGUCAAGAAAACCCUGUCUGGGGCAGGGGCAUGGUGCGGAGGAGACAGGUGUUGACUACAUAGUGCCACACAGCACUGUCUUGCCGUGAUUUCCCGGAGAUUUUAUUGAAGGGGCUUGGGCUUGCUUCAAGUCAUUAAAUUGAGUCAAUUUGUUGCUUUGUUUUGGCUAAAUUUAUAAAAGCACAAAAGUUUAAGGUAAGAUAAUACUAUUUGGCCUUUUUAUCAUCUUUUUUUUUUUUUUUUUUUUUUUUAAAUUUUUGAGACAGAGUCUCACUCUGUUGCCCAGGCUGGAGUGCAAUGGCAAAAUCUCGGCUCACUGCAAUUUCUGCCUCCUGGGUUCAAGCGAUUCUCCUGCCUCAGCCUCCCAAGUAGCUGGGAUUAUAGGUGCGCACUGCCACACCUGGUUAAUUUUUGUAUUUUAAUACAGACGGGGUUUCACCAUAUUGGCCAGGCCGGUGUUGAACUCCUGACCUCAGGCAAUCUGCCCACCUCAGCCUCCCAUUCAGCAUCUUUUUUUUCUUUUUUAAACACUGCUACUCUACAAAAGCAUUUGGUAAAGAAGGCAGUUAAAGAUAAAGCAGA